UGGGGAAUAUUGCACAAUGGGCGCAAGCCUGAUGCAGCCAUGCCGCGUGUAUGAAGAAGGCCUUCGGGUUGUAAAGUACUUUCAGCGAGGAGGAAGGCGAUGCGGUUAAUAACCGUGUCGAUUGACGUUACUCGCAGAAGAAGCACCGGCUAACUACGUGCCAGCAGCCGCGGUAAUACGGAGGGUGCAAGCGUUAAUCGGAAUUACUGGGCGUAAAGCGCACGCAGGCGGUCUGUCAAGUCGGAUGUGAAAUCCCCGGGCUCAACCUGGGAACUGCAUUCGAAACUGGCAGGCUUGAGUCUUGUAGAGGGGGGUAGAAUUCCAGGUGUAGCGGUGAAAUGCGUAGAGAUCUGGAGGAAUACCGGUGGCGAAGGCGGCCCCCUGGACAAAGACUGACGCUCAGGUGCGAAAGCGUGGGGAGCAAACA
rnacentral:rRNA from 1 species